GAUAUAUUGACAUUUCCUCAUUGUAGGGACCUACUGGCUGUUUGUGAUAUAUUGACAUUUCCUCAUUGUAGGGACCUACUGGCUGUUUGUGAUAUAGUGACAUUUCCUCAUUGUAGGGACCUACUGGCUGUUUGUGGGUAUCGUGUUCUGUGGACUCGUGUUCAUCAUGGCUGCCUUGCCGGAAACAAAGGGCCGCAGUCUGGAAGAGGUUGAGACACUUUUCCAAGGAUCCAUUUGUCCAGGGUUUUCCCGGAAGUCUCCAAGCAUACUCACUUCUACACAACCAAGUUUAUCUAUAGGCGGUAACUAAGCAUUUGACUUGAAACUCAUUUUCUGUGAUAUUAACCCAGCACUUUAUAACCCCAAUGGGGGCAUUAUCUUGUAGAUCUGACAAAAACUACCAAGUCUAAAGGUUUUACUCAAUCAACAGAUCCAUCUGCUAUUAUCAUUACUCACUUUUGAUGAUCUCAAGUGAUUGUUCAUGUUCAAGGUACAGAAAUCACUUUUAACCAUGUUCUAUGCAAUAUAUUGUGCUUGACUGAUUGAUUUAUUGAUUGAUUAACUGAGUAAUUGAUUAAUGGACUGUUCCAUAAGAUGAUAUUAAUAGGUGUUUUCACUCAUUUAUUCUGAUCAAUUUAGAUAGUGAUGACAAUAUCAAAUCUAUUUAACUGUUAUAUGAUGUAAGUCAAUAUAUGAGUACAUGUACUAUUUUGUUGGGGCUGUUAGUAUGUAAGUGUAUGUAUCUCUUAUAUAAUGAAAGUAGAGGGACAAAUUGAAGUUAAUUUGGGGGCAAGUAAUACGGUAUGCCUCGUUAUUCUGUGAUAUGGUUUCAUUGUAUAUUUGUUGUUGAUGGAAGAAUGACAAGAACAAAUACUGAAAUAAAUAUUUCUACUU
rnacentral:misc_RNA from 1 species